CCUACGGGUGGCUGCAGUAGGGAAUAUUGGUCAAUGGGUGAGAGCCUGAACCAGCCAUGCCGCGUGCAGGAAGACGGCCUUCUGGGUUGUAAACUGCUUUUAUCUGGGGAUAAAAAGGCCUUGCGAGGCACAUUGAAGGUACCAGAUGAAUAAGCACCGGCUAACUACGUGCCAGCAGCCGCGGUAAUACGUAGGGUGCCAGCAUUGUCCGGAUUUAUUGGGUUCGUAGGCUGCCUAGGAAGUCAAUUAAGAAAUCAAACAGCUCAACUGUUGAUGUGCACAUGAUACUGAUGGACUUGAGUACAGACGAGGUAGGCGGAAUUGACAGUGUAGCGGUGAAAUGCAUAGAUAUUGUCAAGAACACCGAUAGCGAAGGCAGCUUGCUAGCCUGUAACUGACGCUGAGGCACGAAAGUAUGGGGAUCAAACAGGAUUAGAUACCCUUGUAGUC
rnacentral:rRNA from 1 species